AGGUUUAUUUAUUUUUGAGACAGAGAGAGACAGAGCAUGAACAGAGGAGGGUCAGAGAGAGAGGGAGACACAGAAUCUGAAACAGGCUCCAGGCUCUGAGCUGUCAGCACAGAGCCUGAUGUGGGGCUCGAACUCACGGACUGCGAGAUCAUGACCUGAGCUGAAGUCGGAUGCUUAACUGACUGAGCCACCCAGGUGCCCCAAUAAAUAAAUAAACUUUUAAAACCAUCUGGAAGGACUUUUAAAUUCUUAAAUAUCCCAAUAUACAUUGGCCCUGUUAGGGUUCUUAAGUGUUUAUUUCUUCUUGUAUCACUCCCUGAGGAGAAGCAUUCUCUCAGCUUAUCGAUUGUGUAACUUAUUCACACUAAACCUAGAUUUAGGGUAGGUCUUAGGUUUAAUGUUUUAUAAGGAGGAAUAUUGGUCAUGGUCAUUCCAGACCCUACUUCCAAUAUUUAUCCUUUUGUCAUGGAGUACCUCAUUCCUGUCUCCUAACAUGUCUGCCAAAUUUGGUUACUGUUCUCUGUAUCUCCUCAGAGGCCCAUCUACUCAGGAAAAUCAGAACCAGAGGAGAGAAAAGAAAGGCAGAGAUUUUUGUGAAGUCUGUGCAGUGUUACAUGGCCCUGGCCCAGCUCCUGGUGGAGCAGAACUUCCCAGCCAUUGCCAUCCACUGUGGGACAUCCUGGGAAGAGAGUUUAAAGACCUUUCAUGAUGAAUUCUUGUGGCCACCAACCUAUUUGGCCGAGGCAUGGACAUUGAGCAGGUAAACACUGCCAUCAACUGCCACCUGCCUGAGGAAUCCCACACUUACCUGGAUCAGGAAGCCUGAGCAGGCCAGUUCGCCCAAGGGCUUGGCCAUCACAUUUGUGUCAAGUGAAAACAAUGCCAAGAUCCUCAGUGAGGUACAGGGUCACAUUGAGGUCAGUCGUAGUGAGCUGCCUGAUGAGAUGGACAUUUCCUCCUCCCGUGAGAAUUGAUCUCAUGAAACUGGUUCCUCCAAGUCUUCAGAGUCUCCUCAUUCCUCAGUGACUUUGUCUUGAAACAAAGUGCAGGCAGUGGUGCCUGAUGCCUAAUGGGUGCCUGACAAGUUUAUGCCCUGAUCUUGAUGCCAUGUUGGGAUGUUUUGUUUAUUUCUAUGUGGGAUCUCUUUCUUCUCUCGUCCAAUUUUCUUUUUUGCACCUCAGUCUUUCCCCUGACCCCACACCCCACAUGAACAUCUGCAUGUAUAGGGGUCUGUGUUUCUGCCGGUCUAACUUAGCCUUCCCAUGCCUUAUUGUAACUGUGCAUCUGUUCUCUGCAGUUGCAGCCAUGGGAGAGGACGCACCCAUUCGAAGAGCCUGAUGGAGGUCUCAUACCCACGAACCAUGAGAUCAUGCAUGACCUGAGCUGAAAUCAAGAGUCGGAUGCCCACCCGACUGACCCACCCAGGCACUCCUAGAGUUUAUUCUUCCUAAUUAAUUUCUUUUUAAAGAUAUUUUAAAUUUGAAUAUAGUUGACACACAAGAUUACAUUAGUUUUGGGUGUACAACCCAGUGACUCAGCUUCUGUAUACAUUUUCUUUUUUUGAGAGAGAGGCAGCCAGAGCAGGGAAGAGAGGUAGAGGGAGAGAGAGAGAGACAGAGAGAAAGAGAGAGAGAGAAAGAGAGAGAAUCUCAAGCCAGUUCAGUCCUGUGGGGCUUGAUUCCAUGACCUGGGAUCAUGACUGGAGAAACUACAGAGCCACCCAGGGGCCCUUCACUUUCUGUCUACACCAUGCUGUGCUCACCAGAGUGUAGCUGCCAUCUGUCACCACACAAUGAUGUUAUAGUCUCACUGACGAUAUUCCCUGUGCUGUGCCUUUUAUUCCUAUGACCUGUUCCCUUCCAUAACUGGAGCCUGUGUCUCCCACUCCCCUCACUCACUGUGCCCAUCCUCCCAACCCCUUCCCUCUGGCAGUCAUCAGUUUGUUCUCUGUAUUUAUAGGUCUGAUUCUGCUGUUUGUUUCUUUACUCAUUUGUUUUGUUUUUUUUAGAUUACACAUAUGAGUGAAAUCAUAUGGUACUUGUCUAUCUCAGUCUGAUUCAUUUCACUUAGCAGACAUACUGCCCUGUUUGUCCAUCCAUGUUGUCACAAGUGGCAGUACAUAUUUAUAUGUAUGUGUACAUACCACACAUCUUCCUUAUCCAUUUGUCUAUGGGUGGACACAGGUUCUAUCAGUAUGGCUUCUGAAAAAAAAAACCUCACACUCUUAACAUCAUCUGGGAUGAGGGCGCCCCCUGGUGUCUGGGUCCCUGUCCAGGUGCUGGAGCUGAAGGAGACCCUAGGGAGGGCUUGGCUGAGGAGGAGAAAGGCAGCUGGGUCUUCUCUCCUUAGUCCUGUGGCCGCACGUGGGGUGGAAGAUAAGGGGACACCCCCUCCCUCACCCCACUGCUCUGCUCUCAGGUGGAUUCUGACUGAGAAGCCUGAGUGGGGUCUGGACUGUAAGUCAGGUGGAGAUGUCUGAGCAGAAGCCUGGGUGUCAGUGGGAAGAGGAAGAAGCUUCUGAGCAGCCCUGGACUCCACAGGGGUCAGGCUCAGGGGUGAGGCAGGAUUGCAGGAGAAGAGAGUUCAGGAGCUGGUGCCAUUGCUGAGGUUUCUGUGUCCCUGUGCACCUCCUCCUCCAGCCCCUUGAUGGAAAUAACAGGGAAAAUCUCUCAGACCUUCCUUUGCUUGUGUACUCUCUGUCUUUCAAAUAAAUAAACUAAA